AUUGAACGCUGGCGGCAUGCUUUACACAUGCAAGUCGAACGGUAACAGGUUAAGCUGACGAGUGGCGAACGGGUGAGUAAUGCAUCGGAACGUGCCCGAUCGUGGGGGAUAACGCAGCGAAAGCUGCGCUAAUACCGCAUACGAUCUGGGGAUGAAAGCGGGGGACCGUAAGGCCUCGCGCGAUCGGAGCGGCCGAUGUCAGAUUAGGUAGUUGGUGGGGUAAAGGCUCACCAAGCCAACGAUCUGUAGCUGGUCUGAGAGGACGACCAGCCACACUGGGACUGAGACACGGCCCAGACUCCUACGGGAGGCAGCAGUGGGGAAUUUUGGACAAUGGGCGAAAGCCUGAUUCAGCAAUGCCGCGUGCAGGAAGAAGGCCUUCGGGUUGUAAACUGCUUUUGUACGGAGCGAAAAGGCUCUCUCUAAUACAGGGGGCUCAUGACGGUACCGUAAGAAUAAGCACCGGCUAACUACGUGCCAGCAGCCGCCGUAA
rnacentral:rRNA from 1 species